CUCUGUAAAGUGAGGGAUUGCCUGGACCAGGUCGGCGGGCCUGCUCCAGUUUCCUUCGCUCUGCUCAACGGGCAGACCGCCAC
ncrna:Synechococcus sp. WH 7805 Cyanobacterial ribosomal protein S1 leader